rnacentral:rRNA from 1 species
UACGUAGGGCGCAAGCGUUAUCCGGAUUUAUUGGGCGUAAAGAGCUCGUAGGCGGUUUGUCGCGUCUGCCGUGAAAGUCCGAGGCUCAACCUCGGAUCUGCGGUGGGUACGGGCAGACUAGAGUGAUGUAGGGGAGACUGGAAUUCCUGGUGUAGCGGUGAAAUGCGCAGAUAUCAGGAGGAACACCGAUGGCGAAGGCAGGUCUCUGGGCAUCUACUGACGCUGAGGAGCGAAAGCAUGGGGAGCGAACAGG